rnacentral:rRNA from 1 species
UUAAAUGGCUGCAGUAAUUUGACUGUACAAAGGUAGCAUAAUCAUUAGUUUUUUAAUUAAAAGCUUGUAUGAAAGGUUGGACGAAAUAAAAUCUGUCUCUUUUUAAUAUAAUUAGAAUUUAAUUUUUAAGUUAAAAAGCUUAAAUUUUUUUAAAAGACGAGAAGACCCUAUAGAGUUUUAUAAUUUUAAUUUAUUAAUUAAUUUAGAUUUAUUAAUUUUAUUUUUUUAAAAUUAUUUUAUUGGGGUAAUAGAAAGAUAAAAAAAAUUCUUUUUUUAGAAAAUCAUUAAUUUAUGAAAAUUUUAUGAUCCAUUAAAUUUUGAAUAUAAG